rnacentral:rRNA from 1 species
UACGGAGGGUGCAAGCGUUGCUCGGAAUUAUUGGGCGUAAAGGGUAGGUAGGUGGUCUCAUUUGUCUGGGGUGAAAGCCUUGGGCUUAACUCAAGAAGUGCCCCGGAAACGGUGAGACUGGAGUCCUGGAGAGGGUCGUGGAAUUCCCGGUGUAGCGGUGAAAUGCGUAGAGAUCGGGAGGAACACCAGAGGCGAAAGCGGCGACCUGGACAGGUACUGACACUCAACUACGAAAGCGUGGGGAGCAAACAGG